GUCCGUGUAGCUCAAUGGGAGAGCAUAAGAUCCUCAACUCCAAGGGACCUUAAAGGUGCGAGUUCGAAUCUCGCCGCCGGCC